AUGGCCUUCCAGACGCACAGCCACCGGACGCAGCGCAAGCCACCGUGCUUUACCAAGCACCAUGCCGACUGGAACGGAGGACCGCUGCCCGAAGGCAAGAACCACCGUGGUUCCGAGCCGCGGCCAAGCAACAGAAACACCAGCGCCCCCCAUGCACACCAGCACAGCCGCCGAAGACCGGAUCUGCAUCACUCGCAGCUGGGGCACUCUUCGGCCGCGCCCCUCGACGCCCUUGGCCGCAGGCCACCACCACCAACAGCAGCAGCACCGCUGCACCUCCACGCACUGGAACCGGCCGCCGGUUCACCGGCCAAGCUCCACGCCACCCCUGCACGCACACGCUGUUGGCCCUGCACGGCCCAGAUCAGGCCCGUAGCACCGCCACGCGCGCCCCGCGCCGUGCCCUGCACUGCUGCCACCCCACGCUGCACCGGAGAACCACAAAGCAGGAGCCACAUCGCCACAACCCGUCGGAGCGCCGCCCGAGACCAGCCGCCACCGCGCCACGCAGAUCCAGAGCAAGUUAACCACCGGGAGGAGCGCUCUUCCCCGCCCCGAGUGCACGAGGACCAGGUCCCACCGCCGCCGGCCGCCAGCGAGCUUUGCCCGGUGGCGUGCGCCGGCGGCGAUGAGGGGAUGAGGAGGGUGGAAGGGGACCGGCGGUGGUGGAUGGGGUUUCCGCCCGAGCCGCCCCUAGGAGGCGACGUGGGGGACUUUUUGGUGAUAACCAUUGUGCUUUCUUUCUAG
rnacentral:rRNA from 1 species